GCCACCUAUCGCCUGGUUUGCUCGGCAGAAGUCAGCCGGGGCCUCCCUUCGGGCUUGGCUUGAGAGGGGAAAGAACUCAAGCCCUCCUUCUGAAGACGGCACCCGGCCCUGGGCGGAGACAGAGAGGGAGAGGUUCUUGACAACCCGGUGGAAAGUUGGAACCAGGUCCUCGCCCGGCUCCGGCCGCACGGCCUGGGGCAAGCGCUUCCUCCCCUGGGCCUCGGCCACCUUCUCUCCGAUGACGACGCCGCCCAGGGCCGCGGGUGCUGGCAGGGCUGGAGCGGGGAGAGCAAGGCUCCCCGAGCUGGGGCUGUGCGGAGGGAGCCCCGUGGAAGAGGCGGGCCGCUCCCGGUUAGUUUCGGAACCUCCCUAAGCCACUUUCCUCCUCCCUUGGCGCGCUCACCUCCCAGAGCCGCGGCGGGAAUGAACGGAAGCCAGGCCGCGAGGGUCCCGUCAUUACCCUGCCACCACACUGCCCGCCGAGCCGCGGGGAGGCUGAGUUCGUAACGCCGCCCGACGCACACCUCUCGCGAGAACGCAAAGACCAAGCCGCACACGCGGCCCGUCAACCCGGCUGUCUGCGCGCGAGAGGACACGGGGACGACGGGGAGGAAACGGGGGACCCUGCACGGGUCGGUGGUGGCGUAAUUACAUCUAUUGUCUGCACCAGAACUUACAGAGGAGCCUAAACCGCCAAACCCACGUGAGGGAAAGAGUGGUUUCCCGAGCGCCGACUGCGUGACGCGGCCGGACGAGGCCGGUGCCACCUGGGAGGCACCUUAGUUGCCUCGUGCUGGCCUCCCGAGGAGCCCUCUCCGAAGUUUCUUUGGAGAUCAGCCACAUACGAGCUGGUUUCCUUGUCCUUCGGGGGCCACACGUCCCCCUGGCAGAAAGAGAAGACCCCAGUGUGCCGCUCGCACGCGCACGGUGACGCCCGCCACGUUCCUACAGUCCCAGCUCCGUCCUUGCCGCCGGCGGGCACCGCAGCCCGUUCCCUCAGCAUUGGACCACACUGGCCACACACGGACACAUCGCAGACAUACAGAAGCCCUCAGAACACAACAUGGAGCCCCCUGUCUCCCACGCCUGCGCUUGCCAGAAGGGCCACUGGGAAGUCUGAGGGGCUUUCUUCCAGUUCUUAGUCACAUACGUAUAUUCAAAGUCCCAUGUGUCGUUAGGUUCCGUCUUGGUCGAAGCCACAAAGUGUCCCCAGGACAGCGGCACUGGGAGCUCUCUCGCCACUCCCCUUCGAAGGACUUCCGGUUGCUCCCAGUUUUGCCACGGCCCCAACCAGUGGCACAGGAGCCGCGCCUUUAGUCUGCAAGCGUAAGUGGUCUCAAAGGACAGAGGAUUUAUUACAAGUGGGACCUGCCGGGUUGAAGAGUGUGUAUUCCAACUCGUCGUGCUUCCGAACGGUCUUCCCAAGAGGCUUCAGCCCAGCGUGACCUUCCUGAAACACCCACCUGGGACCACUCCUCUGCUAAAGCUUUCGGCGAGUAUCCCGAAAGGAAAAGCUGGGGAAAGAGGCCGAGAGGGGAGCGGGCGGUGAUGGGGCGGCUCCCACCGCUCGAGGGUGCUGUGUGCACCACACACGUGCGUACGUGUGCGCCCACGCUGUGGGGGGUGCAGGCAAGGCUGGGACAGGAGUUAAGCAGCAAGAACUGAGGGAGAGGAGGUCGGUGAAGACUGAGGAGUGAAGACACCAGAGUGGCACUGAAGACAGCGGGGCUGUGCGGCCACCCCGGAGGCCAAAGAGGAGAGCGCAGACACGAUAGAAGUACGGCAACGGUCUCAGAUGCUGCUAGCAUGUCAGGACAAGAAGGACACACUCAAGCUCUAACUGAAGAGAGCAACACAAGGCACAGAAACAGAACUAGGAAAAAGGUUAGAACACUACCCCAAGUGUUUCCAAUUAGGUCGGCACCUGUUAUGAAAGCCCUCUGGUGGCCCCGGUGAAACCACCAGUACUUGGGAGGGAGCUAUGGGAGGUCUCCACCAAGUAGGUAGCUAGGAAACGUCUAGUUGUCAAAGUCUGAACACCGUUAAGUACACGUGCAGGAACACUGCAUCCACUGCACUGCAAACCACAGGUUUGUUUGCAGCUUCAAAACAGCUUAUCAUACACCAGCUCGGGGUUUGCUAUAAACCUUCAGGCCUUCCAAAGUGCAGGAGUCGAAAGGUUGACUUCCAUCUUGACCUCUUAGAUCACCCCAAGAAUACGCCCACCCAGAAGUACGUGUGUGGUCGACAUACCCUCUGGAGAUCCACCCAGAGGAAAAAGGGUGCCGCAAUGGCAAUGCCGUGUUGCUCCUUUGCACCGUGGAGAUGCCAGCAGAGCAGCAGCCGCAAAGAGAUGCCUCGUUCAACCCGCUGCCUCCGCUAGAGUGAGACAGAAGUCACACCCUGCAGAACAGUGAGAGCUGCAACAGCUAAAUACCCUUGAUGGGCAUCUUCCCUCGAAUCUGCCCCUCCCCUUCCUCCCCUUUGUGUUCUGAGACAAGUGGCUUUCUUGCUUCAGUCAUUGCUCCCCCGCCCUACUAUGCAGCGCUAAGAAGGGAGCCACUCGUGGGACUCAACACACGGUAACAGGCCAGAGUCCUGCUUCAGGAGUUUUCAAGCUGGAGCCCUGGCUGGUAUAGGAAGAAGAGGAAGGUGUGGGGGUAGGGAAGAGCCCGCUCUCAAAUAGAAAGGCUGCGAAAGGACACUUGGGCACUCUACAGGAGAGCAUGAAGCAGAGGAGACAAGGUUGUUGAGGCCUUCAGAACCGCAGGUGUCCACCUGCUCAAGUACUGGCUGUUCAACUCCGAUUCUGUGAGUGCCCCAAAUCCCUUCAGCAAAUCUCUUUUUUAGCUGAUGCUCGUUGAAGACAGGUUUCUGUCACUGGCAAUAAUGAGGGUCCUGACAGCCAACACAAGAGCCAGCUUGGAGGAUAUGGUUUCAAAAAGGCUGGUUUAGCAUUUCGGCUAUUUUACACUUGAUCCAACCAACAUUUACUGAGUGCCAAUUAUGUGCUGGGCAAGCUUCCAGACACUAGAAAAUACAAAGACAGAAAACACACGGUCUCUGAUCUCCAAAAAUGUAGUCUGUUAUAAGCGGAAACUUCGAGACUGUAAUUAAGAGAACACUCAUUCCACCAGGAGGACCAACAUCUUAUAAGACAAGAUGCAGACAGAUGACUAGUAUUUAACAUCUUGGAAAACAAGAACCAAUUGUGUCAAAACUAGGUUGUCGAAAGAAUCUUAAAACUUGUUAAGUGAUAGAACACUGAAGACCCAAAAGCCAAAAUAUGUCACAAUCUCAACAGUAGUGGCAGUAAGACAAGAAUAGACAUUUUGCAGGCUCUAGGCCCUGAGCUGUCAGCACAGAGCCCUACACUGGGCUCGAACCCAUGAACUGUGACAUCGUGACCUGAACUGAAGUCCGAUGCCUAACUGACUGAGCCACCCAGGCCUCCCAAUAAUGGCCAUUUUAGACUCAAACACAGUCAUUCCUAAUUUGACAAAACACCCAAAACUUAGGAAUAUCUGGGAAACCAUCUAAAAACUCAUCAGGUCCAAAACACCUUCGAGACGGAGAAAGCUGGGGGGUUAGAGACAACGAUGAGGAGCUGCCCUGCUGGAUUUUCCAAGAUCUGUUUCCAGGACAGACCCUGGAAGAACUGGGUCUCCACUAAAUGGUACGACAUGCCAGAUGACACGACAGUCCAAAACGUCUGGCAAAAAGCCAGCAAACCUCUCUUCCUGCUGGACAUUAACAGUAGCCAAAUAGGAGAAGUAUUCUGGCUCACGUCUCAGUUCAGAAAACCCACUAAUACUUCAAUGUCCCUGAAAGACCCAAAGGCCAGGGUCACUGGGUCAGAGCUUGUGAUAAAGGCAACAUUUACUUCUGAUACCGACUGGUUGUUUUUGACAGGGCAGAGAACAACAGCUUUUAGAUCACUUGCGAAAAUGUCUGGGAUGAAUAGGCCUUUUCACUGCCUUCUUCUCUCCAAUCUCUUUUGUAGAGAGAUGUAGGUAGCAACAAAGGAGAGAUUUAUUACCAUGAGCCCAUUCGGCAGCUGUUUUCUUGUUGCUCCUUGUUUAACUUCUCUCAAGAGAGCUGAGUUAUCUACCCAGCAAAGCAGGUGUUUAAGGCAGGUGAUUUUGUUUCCAUUAAUUUUCUUAAGUAAUAGUAAACCAGACUAGAGAAUUAUCUCAUGAACUCACAGGGGAACCUUAACCCUGUGCCUGCUAAAUCACAAGGCAUCUGCUGCAGCAGGAAAGUUAGGUUGUGAUCCCUGGUGGUUCCAACACCUUCAAAUCUCUCCGACUGACAGUAAGCAGAACUUAAGAGUCACAGCUCAUUCCUACUGCCCAACAUCUGGAUUUUGUCUUAACAAUGUGUUAGACAUAAAGUGAUGCUGGAGGCUUCCAGGAAAAAAAACAGAUUAAGAAAGGCAUUACUCUUCAUUGCAAAGCCCAGAUAAACCAUCACAUUAAUGACUAUACUCAACAGUUUCAUGUUCUGAGCUACUGGGAGGGAAAGGUUAACAUAAAACAUGGAAAAAAUUUUUAAUUUUAAGGCUUAAGACCGCCUCCACCUAUAAAUUGAAUCUCCAGCUCUGGAACUUUCCAAUCUUCACCAUGAUCAUCUUCAUGAGGAGGCCCAUGGUAUGUGCACUCUACACAGUCACUGUGCCAUUAGCUUCCCACAGGAACUUUCUACCCCUCCCAUCUAUACUCACUUGUAGACAGCCACUAUUCACUAGUGGGUUGAGGAGAACAACCAUCCUUCCAUAUACUGGACAAAAUCCUGAAGCCUUGCAUGCUUCAGCCCUUUGAUUACCUUCAAUUUUCUCCUACUGUAGAGCCAUUAUCAUAAGCAGCGAACAUUCGGUGACACAUUUCUUUCUCUUUAUCUGUGUAGUCCCUGUAAUAGCUGGAGACAAAAAUACACUUUAGAGAAAGUCUGUCUUUGUAGGAGGUGACAUCUGGUGGCUAGAAUACUCCACUCAGGUCCAGAAACAUUGAAAAUUCAGCAAGCCCUGAACUGAAUCUGGAGGCGAUGGAAGCCGGACGUGUAGGGGAACCAGGAGAGGCUCCCAGGGAAGGGCUGUUUAAGAAGCACAUGGACAACCUGAAGCCCACAAUCUGAGAAGAUGACAACCUUAAAGGCUGGAGCCACUGUAAGGGCUCCCAGGCCGAGUCUUCCCAAAUUGCCUCAUACUCGGUGACCUCUGAUUUAUCUUGAGAUUUCUUUGCUAAAUAAUGGUCAGAUUCCAAAAUUUCUACAUCGGACUUGUAAGUAUCUUCAAAGGAUACACUUAUUAUUUUUGGCACCUAGGUGGGACAGGAUACUUUUAAAAACCACAGAAGAGGGGUGCCUGGCUGGCUCAGUCAGUAGAACAUGUGACUCCUGAUCUCCGGGUUGUAAGUUCAAGUCCCAUGUUGGGUGUAGAACUUAGUCUACUUAUGUAAUAAAUAUUUCAGUUUAAAAACAAUCAGAAAAGAGAUUUCUGGACAGUCUUAAAAGGUCUGAAAUACAACAAAUGGAUUCAAGUGUAAGGGGUGCACACAGGAUUUUUUUUUUUUUUAACAUCAAGGGGCUUCAACUAGCAAUCCAGAUGAAAUGUUUAAUGUCAACAGGAGUAGAGAAUCUUACCAGUAGAGAAGAAUAAAAAAAUAAUACCUAAGAAACUGGACAGAUUAUUAUGGACAACUCUUAUUUAUAUGCUGAUAUAGUCAAAGUAGAAAACUUUGAAAGUAACUUCUGUAAUCACAAAAAGCUACACUGCUGAAAGACUGGUACUGGUAUUAUUUGGAUAACAAAAAGUCACCCUCUGGGUAUGAAUUAGACCUGAAAGAUCCACUGCAGAUCAAACCAGGAUCUACAAGACACAUUUCUGCAUUCUGUUAAGAACAGUGGUUUUCAGUUGUGGCAAGUAGGGGAAAGUAUCUGAAGAACAAGAUUACACUGUUUCAAAAAAUUACACUGGCCCGCCUGUUAUAGAGUGCUUACUUUGGGGGUAAGGGGUGGGGAAUAGGGAGAUGGGAUAGGAUCCGGAUUUGCAGUUUUGAAGUUUGUCCCAGGCUCCUCAGUGGGAGCUGUUGGUUUAGCACUUCUUAAAGCCAGCUCUAGGGGGCACUGCCUUGUAACACGCUCCACACAACAUUGCCAAAUAGUCCUUCGCCAGGUGGACAGACAUGAACCGCAGCCCCAAGGCUCAUCUCUCUCUCUUUGGUUCGCACUCCCGCAAACAGAGGUCUCACCUGGCCAGUUUCUUCAGCUCGUUAUUGAUGUCAUGAUUGAAGGGCUGUUCCUUCUGGGCUCGGACUAGAAAAUCUCGAGCCUUCUGAUACUCAGUCAUGAUAAGACAGGCCUGUCAAAGGAUGGAGUUUUAAAAACACACUUGGUUAGGAAAGACAGUGUUUUUCUAGGGCCCAAGUUGAACAUCACCACUACCUUUUCUUGGGCAUUCGUUCCCCAGUCCCUGCCCUCCAACACACCUGUCCGCACCGGAAGAGGGCCUUGGCAUUCUUCCGGUCAAUGAUCAGAGCCUGUUCUCCAUAACGCAGGGCCGUGGCGGGCCGCUCCAGCUUCAGGUAUGUAAAGGACAGGUUAAGGAGGACAAGAAGCUUGGCUGCUUCCACCAGGUGCUGCUCUUCAGGGGGUGCUGAUCGCCGGUGAAGCAGCAGCAAGGCCUGUGGACAAGGAAAAUAGGAAGUCAAGAGGAGGUAUGUAAUCUUGCUAUUAAAAGCCCUAAGAAUCCAGAAAAAAAAAAUGUAUUAGAGCUAAAAAAAAAAUGAGUUCAAGA